UCCAAUGAUGGGAGUAUAUCAUGAACCAAGGAUUUUGAUUAAUCUAAUUUAUGUACCUGAGAUCAAUU
rnacentral:snoRNA from 1 species